GACGAACCGUACGAACGUUAUUCGGAAUCACUGGGCUUAAAGGGUGCGUAGGCGGUGCGGAAAGUUGGGUGUGAAAUCCCUCGGCUCAACCGAGGAAUUGCGCCCAAAACUACCGUGCUCGAGGGAGACAGAGGUGAGUUGAACUUAGGGUGGAGCGGUGAAAUGCGUUGAUAUCCUAAGGAACACCAGUGGCGAAAGCGACUCACUGGGUCUCUUCUGACGCUGAGGCACGAAAGCUAGGGGAGCAAACGGG
rnacentral:rRNA from 1 species